GUCCCUCCCAACCCAAACCAUUCUAAGAUUCCAUGAUACCUCAGCUGUGAGUUACUGGCAGUGCAGGUGUCCAACGGGAUGAAUCCCACCUUGACCUCAGGAUUAUUUAGUCAGGUGAUGAACGAGAGCACCAGGAGAGCCUUCAGCAGCUGCUCACAGCCAUUGCCUCUUCUCUGGUAGACCCCUGCUUCAAACAUUAGAUUUGAAGUGCUGCAGGGCAGGGACUGUCUCUCGCUAUGUGCACACACGGUGCUCAGGACAAGGAACCUUUCCACUUCCUUGGAACUGGCAACUGCUAAGGCAUAAUCAUAAAUAAUAGGGAAGGUCUUGAAAGGCAAAAUGACAGCAGGCUGACUGAGAGGGGCCGGGAGGGUUCUGAAAAAGUUUUGAAAGCUUUUUUUGGUUUGGUAAAUGAUUAAGAAAAAAGGACAUAUUAGCUGCUUCUAAGAAAUCAAUGAUUCUACUGGGGCUGUGAUACAGGAGCACUGAACUACAGUGGGAGGGUAAAAGAAAAGUCUGGCCAGGUAGAGUGUGAGAAGUUUAAGGAAAGUGAAUGCAAUUCCCUAAUUCACCUUUGCUCUUACAGAAACACAAGAAAAGGAACGUAGGUGAAAUCCCACGGGGCGGUUUAAAAGCCAUCCAUCAGCUCCCAGCACUGCUCGUGAAUCUCACUCACCCCAGUCCUAUGUGCACACACAGACCAUGAGAGAAGAGUGGGAAACUGUGAAUAUGAACUAGGACACAAUAAGGCAGAUAAGUGAUAAGGAAAGCCCAUAGUGGAUAAUCCAUGGUCAGCGCUGCUAAGAACACGAGGAUGACCAAUAAAUAAUUGUUUAAUGUGUUGUUAGAGAACAUACAGAGAUAUCCAAACACACAUUUGUAGUCCCUAAUAAUGUAUUAGCCUCCUGUAGAUGAACAAGGAGAUAAAGAAGGAAGGGAAUCUCGGAUAUUUCUGGAUAACUACUGCUAACAUUUGUAAUAAAUCUCCAAGUGAUGAUGGAAAACAAGAGAAUGCCAAAUAGGUUAGGAAUCCACUGUGUUGUUAAAGAGCAAAUGGAUAACUGUAAAUCUGUUAUCUGGCCCAAAAGGGAAUUGGAUGAUACAAGACUUAACCCACAGAGCAUGGAAAAGUUGUAAUAUAAUUAGUGGUAGUAACCACAGUUCUAUGGAAAACUAAUUUCAUGCAAUUUUUAAAUGAGAUUGUUAAACAGAGGUGAUAAAAGUGAUGUCGGUACAGCAUUUUUAGUCAGAAUAUAAAGAAAAAGAGGGAAUAAAGAAUUCAAAAUGGUCAUAUUUAGGAUCAGCAUAGUACAAAAGGAAUACACGGGGAGUUGACAACUCUCCAGUGUCACUCUGCCGAGCAACUGCCAUCAAACAAGGCUGUCUGUAACUGGAACUCCCUGAAAUCAUCUCAGUGCUAUUUAACUGUCCUACCAACAGCCAAAAAAACUCCACCACAUCAUUACUGAGAGAGCCUGAAGGAUGUGGAAACAACAGAGGGGUGAGAGUGAAGGACACGGACAGGACAGCACAAAGAGAGGGGUCAGGAUGUCACCACCCAAAGCCACCUCCAUGCCCCAGGUGCCAAGCCAGGCUUGUGGGAGUGACAGGAGCUGUCUCAAGGCUCCAGGAGGAUGUGGGGAUUUGGGACUGACCCCCAGGAUGUGAAUGCUGAGCACAGCAGGGCUGGAGAGUGAGCCCAAAGGAGGGGGAAUAACACAGCACUCAGCACAGGGGAGGACUGAUGCCUGAGGUUUGAGCUUUUAAAUUUUCAGAUUCUGUGCUGCUUUAGUGUGUGGGUCUGAGCUUCACAUCAGGGGAUGGUGAGCUCUCUGCACAGAGCAGGGAGACAAAACAAUUCCUGCUCCAGCUGGGCACCAAGGACAAAUGAUCCAAAUCUCAGCCCCAGGAGCACAAACAAGGUGGGCUGGAGAGAGAAAAACAAGCAGGAUGGGAGUGCAUGGGCUAAAGCUGGAAUGGGACAAUGAACUGCAAGGUGCAAAUGGAGCAGAGCUGAUCCCAGUGAGAGCCCCCGGGAGCGCUCGUGCAUUUUGGGACCAUUUUGGUUGAUCUUGGGUGCAGCCCUGGCUGGGCUCUGGUGCUGCCCAAGGUGGAUCCAUGGAGGAGAUCCUUUGAAUAAAUCCCUGCUUUAUUCUUUA